ensembl:misc_RNA Metazoa_SRP Metazoan signal recognition particle RNA
GCCGGGCGCGGUGGCGCAUAGUUCCAGCUACUCAGGGAGGCUGAGGCUGCAGGAUCACCUGAGUCCAGGAGUUCUUGUCUGUAGUGCGCUGUGCCAAUUGAGUGUCCGCACUAGUUUGGCAUCAAUAUGGUGACCUCCCGGGAGCAGGGGACCACCAGGUUGCCUAAGGAAGGGUGAACUGGCCCAAGUAGGAAACGGAACAGGUCAAAACUUCCGUGCUGAUCAGUAGUGGAUCGUGUUUGUGAAUAGCCACUGCAUUCUAGCCUCGGCAAAUAGCAAGACCCCAUCUCUA